GAUGAACGCUGGCGGCGUGCCUAAUACAUGCCAGUCGAGCGAACGGACGAGAAGCUUGCUUCUCUGAUGUUAGCGGCGGACGGGUGAGUAACACGUGGAUAACCUACCUAUAAGACUAGGAUAACUUCUGGAAACCGGAGCUAAUACCGGAUAAUAUUUUCAACCGCAUGGUUCAAAAGUGAAAGACGGUCUUGCUUGCACUUAUGGAUGGAUCCGCGCUGCAUUAGCUAGUUGGUAAGGUAACGGCUUACCAAGGCAACGAUGCAUAGCCGACCUGAGAGGGUGAUAGGCCACACUGGAACUGAGACCAGCUCCAGACUCCUACGGGAGGCAGCAGUAGGGAAUCUUCCGCAAUGGGCGAAAGCCUGACGGAGCAACGCCGCGUGAGUGAUGAAGGUCUUCGGAUCGUAAAACUCUGUUAUUAGGGAAGAACAUAUGUGUAAGUAACUGUGCACAUCUUGACGGUACCUAAUCAGAAAGCCACGGCUAACUACGUG
rnacentral:rRNA from 1 species